GACUCGGUAGCUCAGCUGGACAGAGCAGUGGCUUCCUAAGCCAUUGGUCGAAGGUUCGAAUCCUUUCCGGGUCGCCA
rnacentral:tRNA from 1 species